rnacentral:lncRNA from 1 species
AGUCUGCCAGAUUGGCAAUUUGAAACGCACUGUCUGUGACGGCUGCUGAGGCUGCUGCGGGGGAGUGAAGGGCUGUCAUGACGAUGACCCCUGGAGGAAACUCUGAUUCCUUUAUCUAAAACCAUCACUAGCCUUACAGACAUCUGGAUUCCUGCUGCCUCUCAACCACGCAAAGGUUGUUUGUGCCUCACUGAAGAAGUCUUCCUCAGAAGCAAAUAGAGACCAGCACAGAAAACUACAACCGGACACAAUGCAGAAAUCAAUGGCUCGUUGGGAACUCGGCCACCAUGGAUAUACCUACAUCAGAGCCCCUGUAUCUGUGGCUCAGAAAAUGUCGAGGAAGAGAGGGCAGAAUAAUUAUAAGUGCCAGAAUACCAAGGAGUCUGCUGUGAGAUAGUCUGUCUUAGAAAUGACUGCAAAAACACCACCAGAACAAUGCUAAUGUCAGUAGACAUGCUAACAUGAAAGAGGGGGAAAUCUCAUGGGGUUCUACCCCUUGGCAAAGAACUUCAAGCAGCUAGAGGACUUGACUGCAAGAGGAGAAUUAGCCUACCAGGGAUGAAUCACAACACGCUUGUUCAGUGCAGAGUGGUCAGCCUUGAAGCCAUAUACACAUAAAUAACAGAAAAGACCAAGCAGAUUCUAUUUAUAAAUUUACGCAUAGACAUAAAGACAUAUAUGUAACAACUGUAACAACGAUACUUUAAAAGAGUCUGUUAACUUGAAACUGGAAGCGGGUGUUGAGAGGGCCUAGGAAAUAAGAGAAAGCGAAAGUGAUAAAAUUCUAUCUUGAUUAAAGUUGUAUUCUAAAAUUAACUAUUUAUGUAAUGUAUAUUUAAUAAUUUUUAUUUUCUGUAUAUUUCUAGCUGCCUUACUUUUUGUGUUAGUGGUGUAUAACUGAGAAAGUAUUCAUUCAGAGAGUAUGUAUAUUUUGGUAUAUGUAUGCACUGUUAAAUAAUUAUCACAAUUAAAUUAACACAGUACAUCAUAUCAUUUUGUUUUUUGUUUUAGACUAUGUAUGUAUAUUUUUACAUCCCAACUUCUUAGUAUGUUAAAGUACACAUUAUUAUAACCUGCAGUCAUAAUACUAUACAAUAAACAUAUACAACUCAUUCAUUCUAUUUGGAAAAUAAGUUUUUGUAUUAGAGAUAGAUAGAUAGAUAGAUAGAUAGAUAGAUAGAUAGAUAGAUAGAUAGAUAGAUAGAUAGAUAGAUAGAUAGAUAGAUAGAUAGACAGAAGGAUGGAUGGAUGGAUGGAUGGAUGGAUGGAUGGAUGGAUGGAUGGAUGGAUGGAUGGACAGAUAGGCAGGCUUAUUUAUCUACUCAUUGUGCUCAUUUUAGCCACUCUUCUGAUCAUAUGCCUCUUUAAGAACUUUAUUCAACUCAAAUAUGGAAAGGCAAUCCUUUAGAAAAAUAAUGGAAAUCAGUCUCUUGAUAUGAGAGAUUCUUUUCCAAGAUAUUGUCAAAAGAUUGUUUAAUUGUGUGUUUACAGAAUAAUUCAAUAGAAUUCAACAGCUUCUGUGAGUUAUUUAAGUUUUGUCUGACUUUUAAAUGCAUAGUCUGCAUACACAGUUUUGUUGUUAGCUUGGUUGGACUGAGAGAUACAUAGAUUAUUAGGGCAUCCCCUGGGGGUCUGAGAGAAGGGGGCUUCCAGAGAGUUGACUACAACAUGAUGAGUCUGACCUAAUCAGUGGUUUUUAUUUCAUUUUCAAUCCUGCUUUAUGAUGUGUGGAAGGAUGGGAGAGAUCUUAGGUGGAGUAAACCUCAGUACCUCACUAAGACAGUAUCAUAGCAGCAUCUCACUGUCUUAUAAUUCAUUCAGAAUUCCCUCGGAAAUGUUCGCUUUUCUGUCGAUCUCUCUGUCUGGCUUCUGCUUCUGCUCCUGUGUACUACUCCAGAUAAUAAUAUUUUGUGAUAUUUUUGUGUUGUAGACAUCUUCUUCCAUUUGUCACCCUCAGUUAAUUUUGUCUUUUCUGACUUGAGUGAAAACUCUUCAGUUAUGAUAUAGCUGAAUGUCUCAUUCAAUCUUGAACAUAGCUUGAUGUUUUACUUCUCAGUAGUUUGUAAUAUUUAACAGACCCAAUUGUUUUGUACAUAAAGGUUUCGUGUGUUCUUUAUUAAUUCUUGAGUCGUGUCAUUGUUGGCUGUGACGGAUCUCAUAUUUCCCACUUUGUACUCCAGUUGGUUGCUGGGAGACAUAGAACGAUAUUUAGUUCUUAUUAAUUUAUCUUAUAUACAACUUUAUUUUUCAUGUUUGUUGAAUUCGGUAAUAAAAUUCAAGUUAUCAUUGUUUUUGUUAUAUUCCUUUGCUACCUAAGCAUAAAUUGUUUUCCUUUGAUUAAUUAAUAUUUUAAAGGCGCCUGAUAGCUGUUCUGAUGUUUGCCUUGCCUUAUACUUCCGAGAUAGACUCAUCUUGAUGACAUUAAAAUGCACACUUGGUUCCUGUGAAUGGAUAGCUUCUUUGUACUUUUGCAACAACGCUCACCACCCUUCCUUUUCCUUGUAUCCAUCCAACUGGGGAAUCAAAUCUAUACCUGCUUUCAGGUGUAAGCUAAUUAGAUUUGUCUCUUUUUCCACUUCACAGAAAAACUGAAAAAGUGAAGGGCGAUGGUAAUGUGUGCCAUGGAACUUGGAAGAAAUCUCCGAAGCCUUUACUUGAUGGGGGAUGGGUCUGGCUGAGAUUCAAUUUGAUAACCAGUUCACAAUCACACUUUUCUCCCCUCUAUACUCAUCCAACCCUGCAGAGCCUACUUUUCCUGCAUGUUUUAAAAUACUGCUUAUAACUGUUAAUUUUUCUGUAUUAGCUUGUUAAACUAUGACAUAUUUCUCUUUUAUACAUUUUACUUCUAACCUCACUUAUUUCUUUGCCCAGUUUUGCCAGAUAUUUUACAUUCCUUUUUGGUUUGGUUUGUUGUUGUUGUUGUUGUUGUUGUUGUUGUUUUGGAAACUCAAACUUGUUUUCAGUCUGUGUUUUCUAAUUUUUGGUUCCUUCCUUGUGAUUUAGGUUUACAUUGCCCCUCAGUAUGUUUGCCCUUUCUCAGGUUAAUGUGCGAAUCUCAUCUCUCAAUUGCUCGCACCGUCCAUCAGUGUUUCUCUAACUAUACCUAUCUUUACUCAAUGAAUUUGAUAAGUUGAAUUUCGAGGUCAUUUAUGUCUAAGUAACUACCUUAUAAUAAUGUAUAUUUAUUAGCAUCUACAUAUACAGAAAAGAUCCAAGCUACCAUCUGAUAUUCUACUUUUAAAUUUAUGUAGUCAUGGCAGCCACUUUAACAUGUGCUACUGGAUGUCCCUGAGACCCUUCGUAGCUAAGUAUAUGAUUAAUUUCCAUGAAUGUUCUGUUUGCUUGAAAAUAAUGCAUUUUUCUCUUCCUUGGUUAUAUUUUCUCCAUCUGAUUUUAGUCUCUUCCACACCUACAAGCCAUAAACUUGCUUCGGAUAAAGCGACUAAGGUAUAUAAGACUUAAUGAUCACAAAAUGGGAGCAGAGAAAGGAGAUAUGGCUUAGCUUGUGAACUGGCUACAGAGGUGGGACUUUCAGAAAGGUUUUCUCUAUAGGAGCUGGCCAAUGAUUGGCUGGCAUGAACCUUGCAUGAGCUGCCAAAAGAGAAGGGAGCUUCCAACCAUCUUUUCAGACUCCCUGAUGUGCACAAAAGGAAACAGGGAAGUGGUUCAGGUUAAAGUGUAUCAUAAGUCAAGCACCAAAACUGUCUAGGACUCCUCCGUGAAUGCACACUGGUUUUAAUGUUCAGUUCCGUUAUUUUUAAUCUUCUAAAUAUUGACUUAUUUUGUAUUUGCUAGACUUACCAGUUUCUCUUGUUGUAUAAAAACUGCCAGGCACAAGGUUUUGUUUAUCCACUCCUGACCAUUUGUACAUACUAAUGUUUUAUAAAAUUUCAAGCUCUUUGUAUUAGAAAUAUAUAUUGUUGGGUACAUAAAUGUCAAGGCAUUUAUUAUCCUUUAUUCUGCAUUUUAUCAUUAUUCAGUACUUUUGUUUGUCUUGAGUUUUAUUUUGCCUAAUAAUGGAAUUUGUUCUCCUUCGUGCUUUGAAUGUUUUCUUAGUAUUUAAAAACUUCUCUAUAAUUGUAUGUCUUGUGAAUGUUAUUUUGAUUAUAUUUUAUUGAAUAUGGGAAUUCUUUGAUUUGUUAAAUGUUUUUUAUUAUAGUUACUGGAUAUUAAACUUAUAUUGUGGCUCC